AGGAUGGGUCUGCGGCCGAUUAGGUAGUUGUUGGGUUAACGGCCCAACAAGCCUGUAAUCGGUACGGGUUGUGGAAGCAAGAGCCCGGAGAUGGAUUCUGAGACACGAAUCCAGGCCCUACGGGGCGCAGCAGGCGCGAAAACUUUACAAUGCAGGCAACUGUGAUAAGGGAACCCCGAGUGCCCGUAUGGACGGGCUGUUCAGGUGCUUAAAAACCACCUGGAGAAAGGGCCGGGCAAG
rnacentral:rRNA from 1 species